AACAACUGUUCUUCCAUUAGAUAGGGUGUAGCUUUCCACAGGUCGGCCAUUUUCUCUUUACCCAAGAUGGUUACAUUUUGCCUGCGGUUAUUGCAAGGGGCUCCUUUGGCUCACAGCCUCAGUCCCAGUAGUUUCCUGACUUGCCGCAUUAGACUGUGUUUUGUUUAUGAGGAGGCUGGUUUCCCUGGCAAUGGCAGCUCGCCAGUGCAUGCGCAUUUGCUCCACUGCAGUAGCAGAAUGCGGCUGUGGGGCCA
rnacentral:lncRNA from 10 species